ensembl:lncRNA
ACACUUGCAAAGAGGUAAGACAUGAAACUAACUGAAUCUUCAAACUUUAGAGGGGAAGCUUGUAAUGAUAGGUAUGUAUAGCGAUGAUCACUCUACCCAUACUGCAGAUCCUAUCACUCUAUAGCCCAAGAAAUAAAGUACUUUAUCCAGAUAUUUUUUUCCAGAAAAAAAAAAAUGCAGAAGUUAGAGGUUCAGUAUUUGUUUCUGAGCCAUAAUAACAGUAAGGACCUUGUUAGAACAAAAAUAUGCAAGUGGCUAUAGUAGUUCAAGACUAAGUGUCUAGCAAAUCAAAUAUUUCGUGUUCAUAACCAGGCAUGUAAGAGAGCAUAGUAGAGUAAAUGUAGAUGUUAUUUUCUCUCCUUGUACUCUUCAACUCCAUAGGUACUUUCUACUCAGCAAAUUUGCUGAGCUUGUUAUAAUUUAAUCUAUUCUGGAGGGCUGCUGUUUCAAAUACUUCUCCAGUUUCCCUUGAAGUCAUGUACAUUUCUUAUAUCUGCAGUGUCCUUCAGCAGCACAAUCCAUUGGAUAACCACUCUCUCUCUCUCAAGUGAAUUAACUACUUCAGAUUUGAACUAGUCUCUUGCUCACUUCAUUUGUUCAACCUCCAUUUUUGCAAUGGAGAAAAUUGUGAACUUGAACUCUUAAUCACUACCAAAUCUUGUCUUGCCUUUUAUGAUUUCAUAGACCUCUUCUACAUCCUUCCUGAGGCUGCAGGUACCCUAAACUUUACAGUCACUCUUCCUAUGCAAGACAUUUCAUAGCUCUGAUCAUCUUCUCAUCUGCUUUUCUCAUCUUUAUGCCUUCACCAGUUCUAAUAUAUUGUGUUGUUGCUUUUUUUUUUUUUAGUUAGGGAGAUUAAAACUGCACACAUCAUUCAGGUUGUGAAUGAACCAUACAUAAAAGCAUUUUCUGUUUUGUUCUCUUUUCCAUUCCUAAAAAAGUCUAACAUUUUGUCUGCUUAAUUAACUGUUGUUAAGCAUUAAAAUGUCUUUGGAGUCUAUUACAGUACCAAGGUCUCUCUCAUAAGGAGCAGCAGUCAGCCUACAAUGACAGAGACAGAUGUGGUGGCAUAGCAGUACAGGUUGAACCUUUCUGCCAAUAUUCUGUUACAUUUUGUUGCCAUGUGACAGAUGGCAGCAGAGGGGCACACUGACAAAACAGCAUCUGAUGUGGAAGUACAUAUGAAGCAAAGGUAUGGAACUGAAUUCCUCCAUGUAGAAAAAACAAAAUCCAUUGACAUUCAUCGACUCUUGCUGAAUUUUUUUGAAGACCAAAAAGUGGAUGUGAGCACAGUAAGGCUGUGGGUGAUGUGUUUCAGCAGCAGCAACCAUGAAGUGAAAGACAUCCACAUUCUGGAUGACCAUGCACAGCUACACACCACAAAAUGAAAAGUGUUUCAAUCGGCUCAUCCAUGUAAAUCUGUGGAUUACCACCAGAGAACUGUGAUUGGAGUCGAAUAUUGGCUUCGGUGUAUUGGAAAUGAUGAUGGCAGUGUUAGAAUAUUGCAAAGUUUGUGCCAGGCAGGUUCCGUGAAUGCUCACACAGGAAAAGAAAGAACACUGUAUGCAAGUUUGUCAGGACCUACUGAACCAAUUUGAGGCUGAAUGUGACAGUUUCCUGGAUCACAUCAUUACCGGUGAUGAGAUGUGGUGUCACCACUAUGAGCUGGAGUCAAAACAGCAGUCCAUGGAGUGGUGACCUGUGAAUUCCCCAUCAAAUAGAAAGUUCAGGAUGCAGCCUUCAGCAGGUAAAGUGGCAUGCACUGUCUUUGGAAUAGGAAAAGAGAGAUCUUUCUGGAUUUCCU